rnacentral:rRNA from 1 species
GGCUCAGGAUGAACGCUGGCAGCGUGCCUAAUACAUGCAAGUCGAACGCGGGCACUUGUGCCCGAGUGGCGAACGGGUGAGUAAUACAUAAGUAACCUGGCCUUUACAGGGGGAUAACUGCUGGAAACGGCAGCUAAGACCGCAUAGGUAGGGACACUGCAUGGUGACCGUAUUAAAAGUGCUGCAAGGCACUGGUAGAGGAUGGACUUAUGGCGCAUUAGCUGGUUGGUGAGGUAACGGCUCACCAAGGCGACGAUGCGUAGCCGACCUGAGAGGGUGACCGGCCACACUGGGACUGAGACACGGCCCAGACUCCUACGGGAGGCAGCAGUAGGGAAUUUUCGGCAAUGGGGAGAACCCUGACCGAGCAACGCCGCGUGAAGGAAGAAGGAAUUCGUUCUGUAAACUUCUGUUAUAAAGGAAGAAAGACGGAUGGAGGAAAUGACAUCCGAGUGACGGUACUUUAUGAGAAAGCCACGGCUAACUACGUGCCAGCAGCCGCGGUAAUACGUAGG